rnacentral:rRNA from 1 species
GACGAACCGUGCGAACGUUGUUCGGAAUCACUGGGCUUAAAGGGCGCGUAGGCGGCCCGCCGAGUCCGGGGUGAAAGCCCCCGGCCCAACCGGGGAAGGGCCUCGGAUACCGGCGGGCUCGAGGGGGGUAGGGGCGGACGGAACUUCCGGUGGAGCGGUGAAAUGCGUUGAUAUCGGAAGGAACGCCGGUGGCGAAAGCGGUCCGCUGGACCUCAUACUGACGCUGAGGCGCGAAAGCCAGGGGAGCGAACGGG